GAUGAACGCUGGCGGCGUGCCUAAUACAUGCAAGUCGAACGAUGAAGCUGGAGCUUGCUCCGGUGGAUUAGUGGCGAACGGGUGAGUAACACGUGAGCAAUCUGCCCUUGACUCUGGGAUAACUGCGGGAAACUGUAGCUAAUACCGGAUACUUUCACUGGAAGGCAUCUUCUGGUGAAGAAAGAAUUUCGGUCAAGGAUGAGCUCGCGGCCUAUCAGCUUGUUGGUGAGGUAACGGCUCACCAAGGCGACGACGGGUAGCCGGCCUGAGAGGGUGACCGGCCACACUGGGACUGAGACACGGCCCAGACUCCUACGGGAGGCAGCAGUGGGGAAUAUUGCACAAUGGGCGCAAGCCUGAUGCAGCAACGCCGCGUGAGGGAUGAAGGCCUUCGGGUUGUAAACCUCUUUUAGCAGGGAAGAAGCGAAAGUGACGGUACCUGCAGAAAAAGCACCGGCUAACUACGUACCAGCCGCCGCCGUAA
rnacentral:rRNA from 1 species